UACGAAGGGGGCUAGCGUUGCUCGGAAUCACUGGGCGUAAAGGGUGCGUAGGCGGGUCUUUAAGUCAGGGGUGAAAUCCUGGAGCUCAACUCCAGAACUGCCUUUGAUACUGAAGAUCUUGAGUCCGGGAGAGGUGAGUGGAACUGCGAGUGUAGAGGUGAAAUUCGUAGAUAUUCGCAAGAACACCAGUGGCGAAGGCGGCUCACUGGCCCGGUACUGACGCUCAGGCGCGACAGCGUGGGGAGCAAACAGG
rnacentral:rRNA from 1 species